UUGAAGAAGGGAAGAGAAGAAAACAAAGAAAAACAUGGAGUCGAAAGAAUCAACUCCGGCAUAUCCUAGUGUUGGGAGGUUUGCUGAUAAUAUGUGCUAUCAACAGUACAGUGCUUCACUCAAGUGUCUAGAAUCAAACUCAGAUAAGAGCAAAUGUCAGGAACAAUUCGAUGUUUACAAGGAAUGCAAGAAAAAGGAGGUUUUGCACAAAUCAGUGGCUCUCACUAAUCCUUAAACCAUCACCAUACACACCAUAGUUGGAGUGGUGGUAUACGUUUUCAUUGUUGGCCAUGUAGCGAAAAAACCCUGGCUCAAGCAUAGCUGUAGUAUAGAAGGAUGGAUGAAGUGCAGCAUCUCCAAUCAUUCAAUAAUGGAUUUCAUCUCUUUUUUAAUAUCAUAACAGAAACGAAUUGAAAGGGGAGUCUCUGCUGGAUACCUUGGUAGUUUUGAAAAAGCAUAAGGUUUCCCUUUUAGGGAAGCUCGGUUAGAACGCAACAGGAAUCGAUCUAUCUUCUCAUGAAUCAAGGUUGAAGAGACUGUGAAUCCUUCUCUUAUGGACUCCUUGAUAGCUGAUUCUUCUCUUAUGGCAGUCAAAAUUUAGAUUUUACAGAAGGUGGGAUCUUUCUUGUAACCAGGAGAAACUUUUAAUAAGCCACUUGGCACUUGUAAAAUCACCUCCAUGAAUCAUUCUCUUCAAGCUAUGAGGUGAGAUUUGAGUUUCUAUUUC